rnacentral:misc_RNA from 1 species
CGAUGAUGAAGAUGCAAAGGAAGAGCUCUACUCUCUUGUCACUGUUGCAGAAACUCCAUCUGAAGGACUAAAGGGCCUGGGCACAAAGAUCAUUGAAGAUGAGGACUAAUCCUUCUAUUUGUGUGAAAAAUAUUUCCCAUCACAGGCUAUAGGUUAAAUGGGAGUUCUUUUUUGCAAAUGUUGAGUGUUUUCUGACGGAUGAAAUUAUCUUAGUAGAAAAAGAAAGA